rnacentral:rRNA from 1 species
CCUACGGGAGGCAGCAGUGGGGGAUAUUGCACAAUGGGGGAAACCCUGAUGCAGCGACGCCGCGUGAGUGAAGAAGUAUUUCGGUAUGUAAAGCCCUAUCAGCAGGGAAGAAAAUGACAGUAUCUGACCAAGAAGCCCCGGCUAACUACGUGCCAGCAGCCGCGGUAAUACGUAGGGGGCAAGCGUUAUCCGGAUUCACUGGGUGUAAAGGGCGCGUAGACGGGAAUGUAAGUCAGACGUGAAAGCCCGGGGCCCAACCCCAGGACUGCUUUGGAAACUGUGUAACUGGAGUACAGGAGGGGCAGGCGGAAUUCCUGGUGUAGCGGUAAAAUGCGUAGAGAUCAGGAGGAACACCGGCUGCGAAGGCGACCUGCUAGACUGAAACUGACGUUGAGGCGCGAAAGCGUGGGGAGCAAACAGGAUUAGAUACCCGUGUAGUC